AUUGAACGCUGGCGGCAUGCCUUACACAUGCAAGUCGAACGGCAGCACGGGUGCUUGCACCUGGUGGCGAGUGGCGAACGGAUGAGUAAUACAUCGGAACGUACCUUAUCGUGGGGGAUAACGCAGCGAAAGCUGUGCUAAUACCGCAUACGCCCUGAGGGGGAAAGCGGGGGAUCGCAAGACCUCGCGCGAUUAGAGCGGCCGAUGCCUGAUUAGCUUGUUGGUGGGGUAAAGCCCACCAAGGCGACGAUCAGUAGCUGGUCUGAGAGGACGAUCAGCCACACUGGGACUGAGACACGGCCCAGACUCCUACGGGAGGCAGCAGUGGGGAAUUUUGGACAAUGGGGGCAACCCUGAUCCAGCAAUGCCGCGUGAGUGAAGAAGGCCUUCGGGUUGUAGAGCUCUUUUGUCAGGGAAGAAACACCGGCUCUAACACAGUCCGGGAAUGACGGUACCUGAAGAAUAAGCACCGGCUAACUACGUGCCAGCCGCCGCCGUAA
rnacentral:rRNA from 1 species